GGCUGCACCCCGACCUCAUUAUUAAUGCAUUAAUAUGACAAAGAGUUUAUUAAGUAGCGCCAUGUCUCUAUCACGUGACUGUCACGGAACGUCACAUGCCAACAUGGCGGCGUCUGUCUCCAGCGAGCACUUCGACAGCCUGCAGCUCCUUCUGAAGGCUCCCUCUAAAGACGCAGUGAGAGACGUUUGUGUUCAGAGUCACCGAGGGGGGGGCCGCCGGCUGACAGAGACCACCGCAGAAACACUGAGUAUCUCUACUGUACAGGCUGAGCAGGUACACACACACACACACACACACAC